rnacentral:lncRNA from 1 species
UCACUCAUAUUACAUGAACAUCCAUCCAAUCUACACGACGGAAAGAGACGAUGUCCCAGUCCCAAUUUAAAGAAACACCGGUCUUUUUUCCUCCUAUGGUGGAACCCCAAUUCGGACCAUCAUUAGAAAAUUUACACUACCAAAUUACACCUCAACUUACUAUUGACUACUUGAUUUUGAUAGCUUUUCCAUUGCUUGAGUUGGACUCCUUUGGGUUACUUAGGAUGAGAGGAUUUAUUUUAACAGCCUCUCAAAAACCCUAAUUCCGCGUGGUACUCCAACAUUCUUCCAUUGUAAAGGCUCAAUUUUUGCCCUGA